UGUCCAGACUCCUACGGGAGGCAGCAGUCGGGAAUAUUGCACGAUGGAGGAAACUCUGAUGCAGUGACACCGCGUAUAGGAAGAAGGUUUUCGGAUUGUAAACUAUUUUAGACAGGGAAGAAAAAAGACAGUACCUGUAGAAUAAGCUCCGGCUAACUACGUGCCAGCAGCCGCGGUAAUACGUAUGGAGCAAGCGUUAUCCGGAAUUACUGGGUGUAAAGGGAGCGUAGGCGGCAAGGCAAGUCUGAUGUGAAAACCCAGGGCCCAACCCUGGGACUGCAUUGGAAACUGUAUUGCUUGAGUACCGGAGAGGCAGGCGGAAUUCCUAGUGUAGCGGUGAAAUGCGUAGAUAUUAGGAGGAACACCAGUGGCGAAGGCGGCCUGCUGGACGGUAACUGACGCUGAGGCUCGAAAGCGUGGGGAGCAAACAGGAUUAGAUACCCGUGUAU
rnacentral:rRNA from 1 species